UCUAUUUAAUAAGUGCUAUCCCUUGACUCCAAAGCAGCAACUUCCUCUCUUUCACCAUCUCUCUCUUCGGUUCUCUCUCUGCAGGGUUCCUUUUUCCAAUCUAUCUCAGUAACCCUAACAUAUUAUUUUUGACGGCUACAUCUAGAAAAGCGUUCAAAGGGAAAAGAGAGGCGAUAGGAGUCGAAGCUUGAACUGGUGAUUUGGUAUUUGAUUUACAGUGCAAUCGGAUCUUGAUCUGCGCCUAACCCAGGAGCAGAUCAAGAUCAAUAUACCAUGAUAACCUCCCAAGAGGUACUUGUAUAACCAGAUCUGGUUGCGACCUGUUGGAUCUUGGCUUCAGUUGCGAGGGACAACAGGUCAUUGGUUUGAUCCGGUACUUGCUCGUCUUCAAAAGAUUACCAUGAUGGACUUCGGAUUUACUGUCUUUUUGGACUGAAGAAAGCAUGGAUUCUUGCUCAUGCAAGUGUUUUACUAUUGCACAUGUGAUCUUGAUGGCAUCCUAGCAAUUUCCUCUGCUUGGAAUAUGAUCAAAUCUACAUAUGGAGGUGGCAUUUUCAGCCAACAUUAUAUGUUCGUUGCUCUGGAUCAAGUGGAUAGAGGAAGCAGUUUUAUUUUUAAUAUGUAUCAUUACGUUAUGUUGUCUAUAAUAUUGUUGUUGUAUACAAACUGCAAAUUUGUUUAAUUGGUUUCUAAGAAUUUUGAAUGAGAUACAUUUGUUUUUUUUUUUUUUUUUAA